rnacentral:rRNA from 1 species
GAUGAGCGCUGGCGGCGUGCCUAAUACAUGCAAGUCGAGCGAACGGACGAGAAGCUUGCUUCUCUGAUGUUAGCGGCGGACGGGUGAGUAACACGUGGAUAACCUACCUAUAAGACUGGGAUAACUUCGGGAAACCGUAGCUAAUACCGGAUAAUAUUUUGAACCGCAUGGUUCAAAAGUGAAAGACGGUCUUGCUGUCACUUAUAGAUGGAUCCGCGCUGCAUUAGCUAGUUGGUAAGGUAACGGCUUACCAAGGCAACGAUGCAUAGCCGACCUGAGAGGGCGAUCGGCCACACUGGAACUGAGACACGGUCCAGACUCCUACGGGAGGCAGCAGUAGGGAAUCUUCCGCAAUGGGCGAAAGCCUGACGGAGCAACGCCGCGUGAGUGAUGAAGGUCUUCGGAUCGUAAAACUCUGUUAUUAGGGAAGAACAUAUGUGUAAGUAACUGUGCACAUCUUGACGGUACCUAAUCAGAAAGCCACGGCUAACUACGUG